UACGUAGGGUGCGAGCGUUGUCCGGAAUUAUUGGGCGUAAAGAGCUCGUAGGCGGUGUGUCACGUCGGCCGUGAAAACCUGCAGCUUAACUGUGGGCGUGCGGUCGAUACGGGCAUCACUGGAGUUCGGCAGGGGAGACUGGAAUUCCUGGUGUAGCGGUGAAAUGCGCGGAUAUCAGGAGGAACACCGGUGGCGAAGGCGGGUCUCUGGGCCGAUACUGACGCUGAGGCGCGAAAGCGUGGGGAGCGAACAGG
rnacentral:rRNA from 1 species